AUGAAUAGGUAAAAAAAAAAUUUUAAAAACAUUUAUUAAAGGUUUAAUACACCUUUAAAACUUAAUUACGUUCAUAACUUAAUUGCAAAAUAUCUAUAUUUAAUGUACCGGUAUAUAAAAAAACCCAAUAAAGGUCAAGAUUAAUUAUCUUAUACAUAUUUUAUUUUAAAACACACCCAAGGUUGACAGUUGGUCCAAUCAAAUUUAAACAUCUUUCCGCCAAAAAGGAAUCCUAGCCAAACAUGGCUGCUUUAUUAGAGCUGUGAUAAACUAUUGAGUUUUAUAAGUUGCUAGAAGGCGUAAAAGUUGAAAAUUAGGUUGAUGUCUAAUUCCCUAAUGGCCCAAUUUAAUUUAAAGGGAAAUAAAGGGAGGCGGUCCAUAAUGGACUUAGAAAUUUACAAAGUUGUCCAAGAUAGUGUAAUGAUCAGUCAGCCGAGCUGCAAGGAAGCCGAGAUAAUAACAGCAGUUUCGGCUCAUCUAAAAUAUGCACCCGACAGAAGAGGGACCAAUUAAGUACAUGUACAGUUUUAAUUUGUUUAUUACAUGUCAUAUUUUAUUAUAAUCUUUAUAAGCCAUUUUGAGCAGUGUUUUAUAUUGGUAACAGGCGCUUUAUAAAUAAAUAAAUUUUUAUUAUUAUUACGGUACCAAUUGCAUUACAAUUACUUUCUCAUUUUUAGCAAUAUCAUUCAUUACCAUUACCCAUUACAUUGAAAGUAAAUAAUUACAUUUUAUUACUAUUUAAAGAUU